AUCUUUAUGAAUAGGAAGCUUGUGUAAAGGUUUAGGAAACUGUACUUGUGAGUACAGCCAUACUUCUAUCCUCUCCUGAGGAUACAAAAUGUCUGUUACAGUUCAAAACCAGCUCAGUGAAAUGGUACAUUUUUGGCAGGACAUUCAUGAUGCAACUGAAGUCAUAUAGCUUGCUGAGGUAAUAAAGCAACCAUGACUCCCUACAGUUUUAGGUAUUGUUACCUAAAACUGUACAAGUUACUAACUGCUAACAAAUUCACAUCAACAGUAAUUAAUAUGAGUUUGCAGAAGUGCAAACGAGACCUCAAAAUUCCAGUUUAUGGAAAACCAGAAAGCAUGUGACAGAGCUGAGACUAGACUCCAGGUGUUCAGUGUUACUGUGCCAUUCACUCCCUGCUCCAGGCCCGUCAUGUUUUAUGGGCUGGUUAUGUGUGAUUGCACUUCAGAAAGGGUCAAGACCUGUAGUAAGCUCAUUAUCUCCAGUAUGGACUAUGAAGCCACAGUCCUUGUCAGGAGGGAAUGUCUGGAGCUGGCUGCGAUGUUGUGUCUCUGUUGGAAUAAACAAGUGAUAACAGUAGAUCUAAACAUAAAACUUAAAAUGGAACUGAAACAUCCUAGACAAGAAGUAAUAAAUCAGCUUGCUUAUACUGCUGUGCCAUUUGCUCGUGCAGCAUUUCAAAGCAGACUGUCAGUGUUGCACACAUCUAGAAGCGACAGUGCUCAGCCCAUGGGUGUGUAAGAUGGAGGACUGCACUGCAGUAACUGCAGCAGCCUACAGGGAGGGAUAACAUGGAACUAACAUGCUGCCUUCUCUUUUUUGCUCCAGGUGCUGUGUUUAAAACUGAUGUAAAAUGGAGGAAAACAACCCAGAAACACUAUUGUCUUAGACUUCUGUUGUAUAUCAGACCAACAUCUGCCAUUUGAUUAACUUUGCUCUGGAAGAUUGUGGCCCUGCAAGGAAAUAGGAUGGGAAUUUGCAUCCCAAGCUCUCACUAGAUUCUUGGCAGAGACUGGAGCCCAAAAUUUAUCUCCUUUCCAUAACAGUGGCAAGUACAAAAAUGCGAUGCCAUCGCUAAAGUCCUAGAAGUCUUGAGCCCAGCAAGAGUUACUACCCUUCUGAUGAUUGUGCCAGUGGUCAUCCAAGCGCUUGGCAUCCAGUUCAUUCUGAUUCUCCACUCGCCUCUGCAGCAGCUUCUUUAAGACUUCCAGUCGAGCCUCCUGCAAUCUGCAAGGAAAGAAAAGGCCAGUUUUGGAAGACCAUGAGGUAGACCUCAUUAAGGCAGUCUGCAAGAGAAUGGGUAAAAAUGAGUCCUUUGAAAGCUACACAUCAGGAUUGCUGUUUGAUGCCACAACCACUUUAUACUCCAGUCUUACUCUUCUCAACAUGCAAGGCAGCUAAAGACAAGAAACAGCAGCUCUCAUAUCAUGCCACUAAGGUAAGUCAUUUCCUUAAGAUAUAUAUAUAUAUAAGGCAAGUCCUGAAGAUCAUGCUUCUCUUAAGACCAUUUUUGUCAGCUUGUAAGAAUCCUGACCUCAGAUGUAUGGGAUUGGGAUUGUGGGUGCUAGAGUUGGUUGCUGAUGCCUAAUUUUAAAUACAGAGGUGUAUUUACAGGGGGCAAUACAUAACAUCGUUUGACAGCCGGGAUCAAAACAGAGGACUGCGUGCUGAGAUCAGUUGUCUUCAAAGACUGCAUCUAAGCCCUGCAAGCUGUGCUGUGAAACUCGGGGAGGCACAGUAUGGUUACCUGUGACAGCAAAGCCUAUAGAGAGAUGUUUCAUUCACCUCCCCUGAGGUACAGUUUACUGCCAAGGUAAAGUCCCAGUGUUUUCAAUCAUAUCACAUAACAAAAGAGAGGGGAAUGUUUUCAGGUGCAGGGUGGUAACCUGAGAUACUUGCUCAGCACUAAUCAAUCUAUUAUUGUGAAGUUGUGUUUGUAAUUCAAAGGAGAUAUUAUCAUUGAGCUGAUGGCCAGUUCCACUAGCUGACUCCUUAUGUAUCAGACUGUUGCUCCAUCCAGAUGGAUCUGUGUUUCAUUAAGCACAGGUGGGCACUUAUUCUUAUGAUCUAACUUUAUUAGCAUAAGCCGUUCAUCCUGUUAUGGUGUAGUUAUAGGCACAAUGGGAACCCAGCGAAAUAGCCCCUUUUAUUCCACAGACCGUGCCUCUUGCACGUCCUUGACUUAUAUUUGCUGACCUUGCUGAAAUAAAUGAGCAUUUAUUCCUGGUAACCUUGCAGAGGCAAUGCAACUACUGAGAAGACAGCUGGGAAAUAUUCUAUCUUCUGUAUCAGCAACACUGUCAGUCAGCGCAGCUUGAAAGAGAGGGGAUAUGUUUCUCUUUCUUUGAUAAUUGCAAGACAUUUUGAAAAUACGCGUUGUUGAAAUGUAAAUCAACUUUAAAGCAGCGCAGGUGUCAACGAGACACUGAGGUUUUUGUGUGCUGGGGACAGUUUGAAAUGCUGAAAUAAUGAUUUUUUAAAGGGCUCCAAAAUUCUUAUUUUAUUGUGGAAAUGAGAAGAAUAUGCUUUUGAAACCAAACAAAACCAGGUGUGAAACCCACUGUAUCACUCUUAAACAUCUUUGAUUACUGUCUGGCAUGUGGCAGAACUCAGGUACCAGUAAACCCAGAGCAUGCAUCAUCUGAAAAGCCCAUGGUCUAAAGUUAGCUUGUUAAUGCACCAAAAACCUCUGAGAAUAACUACCUAAGCUGAUGACUGCAGUACUGAACACAGCUACAAGAGGACUCCAAAAAAUACAGCGUGGCAAAACACAUAAAUGUUUGGGUUUUUUCCUUUAAUAUUUGCUGAAUCAGAAGCCCAAAUUGUAAUGCCAGGAGAGAGUUCAACUAAAAAACCCCUGCACUAAAAAUGUGGUGUCCUGGUUCAGGCCCCAGGAACCCUUGAAUGAGCAACAAAAGCAAACUAACAAGCUGCAACUAUAUGGGACUAAAAGAAAAUAGUUCCUGCUGAAGUAACACACACGAGUCACUGAAGUCUUCAUAACUUAUCUGAUCUGUAAGAGAUUGAAAUAACUCUCUUCUCUUUCACAGCAACCGCUGCAAAGCAGAUAGCACAGGGAUGAAGGAAUGUGCAACAUCCACCGUGUAAGAAACAGAUGGGCAACCAUACUCCACAACAGCUGCAAUCUCUUAAUUUCAAGGGAAAAAUAAGCAGGAGCAAAUUGCAGUCAUCUCCACUUCAGUGUGCAAGGGGUUUUGUUGGUUUUGUUUGUAUGCUUGUUUAAAUUAUCCAACCAUAGAACACUUACGCAGCAAGCUGCUGAAGAGCCUCCAGGCGCUGUUGAGACCCCCCUCUCCAUCUUCGGUCAAUAAAUGGAAGCAAUGGAUCUUUGCUCUCCAAGAACAGACUGUAGCCUGGGAAAUGGAUCAAGCUAUUGAACAUGCUUCUGAACCUUGGCGCAUUUACCUAAUGUUUAUGUGGACACAAAGAAGAGAGGCAGUGAUUUAGCAAUUUCAAAUAGCAUUAAAGCAAUCAGAAUUUCA